rnacentral:misc_RNA from 1 species
AACGCACAUUGCACCUUUUGGUAUUCCGAAAGGUAUACUUGUUCGAGCGCCGUUUCAUAAUUCAAGCUCUCCAUGGCUUGGUGUUGGAAUGAUUUGAGAGAUCAAAUCUACCGAAAUCCUUUGGCAUUGAAGUCAGAUCCAUAAGCGUGAUAAAUCUCGUUUAAAAUUUGAUUUUGACUGGCCAAUAUCUCGAAAAUUGAUGGCCUCGGAUCAAGUAAGGUUACCCGCUGAACUUAA